CUGACAGAUGUAACAGAAAGUGUCUUCAUUGGGAAAUUGGGUUUCUGAAGUUCCCUUGUUCCUUCAGAAACCAGGAGGAGAGAGGCAGAGGGAGGCUGACAGGAAGUGAGAACUCCGAGACUUCAAACACAAACAUUAUGAGAAACAAGCAACAUCUGCAAACAGAUGAACCCUUUAUUUUUGACAACAAAUACGAGAUGGCUGGCAGGUACCGUGUGCUCAGUUCCAUGAAAUAUUUAGUAAGGCAAUAACGACUCCCUGGACAGCUUAAGAAAACCACCAUUAUAUUCAGAGAGAAAGCCACGAGCAAACAGAGCCGGGGAAACACAAAGGAAGAUAAGGGAGGAGCUUUCAUCGGGACUUCCUGUCCAAUAAGGCAACCAGGCUUGAUCCCUAUGUUUUGAGAAAAAUCAAAGUGUCAGAACUAUCCGAAAUGUCAAUAGAUACGGUAAGGAAUAGUGUCUAACAUUUUCUAUUACACCGUUCAAGAAUUUGCCUCGCAGCGCAAUUUGGAAGGGAAGAGAAGAAAAAAAAAUCAACUCUUUAUUUCAAAAACAAUCAAAGAAAAGAAAGAAGCGGGAGACACUCUUGCUGAGGCACUUCCUGGACGGAGGAGUGGACCUAGGCAGGCUUUGUGCAGCAGGCUACCGGAGGCGCAAGCCUUCAGAAGUCUUAAUAUUGCGAUGAUCCGAGUACUGAUUUACAGGAUGACUGGAGAAGCACUCCAUUCAUUUCGCUGUAUGUUGGAUACCCGCUCUCUGGGUGACCCACUUUGGAAAGGUCCUGCAACGCAGAAGAGGAG